ACACUUCUGUGUGCGUAUGUACGCAUAGAUACACAAGAUUGCAGCUUCUGGGGGUUAGCAUGCAAACUCCACUUUCUGUUCUACUUUCCUGUUACAAUGACAUCUCUAGAGUUGGUCCAAAGUCUACAAUGGAACUUUUCUGUUCACCCUCUUGGAUCAGAAUAGCUCAAGUGCUAAUCAAAUCUGUGUUCCAGGUAAGUGAUGGGUGAAUCAUCUGACAGCAAACACUGAGCACAGAUAAGAUUAAUUAGGAGGCUGCAUGCCUAGAGGUAAGGAGGAAAAUGUUUCAGAGAAGGUCAGGCAGAGGUAAGAAAAGCCUUGACUUUUAUGUGGUAUGCUCUCACCAUAGACAGAGAAUUUUAUGGGCUCAGACAUUUAAAGAAGACCGACAGCGUUACUGAUCUUAUGCCAAUCAGAUCUUCUAGGUGGGAAUUCCCCUGCUUGCAUAGCCCAAGUUGAGAAGUGAAGUGGGAAGGAGACAGCAGCACGAGAGGUAGCUGAGUGAAGAGUGAUGACCAAGAGAGAGAUGAAACAUGAAAUAAGUUAACCGGCACGCAGGCACCAGAGCUGGAGAACCAGGGAAUGUUUUCUACAUGGAGGAAUACAACCAGGAAGGAGCUCAGUAAGCACUGGUCUUGGGGCUGUGUGAUCAGCUAGCUACUUAUGUCACUCCACCCUGCUGCACAGCCAUGUCACUGUGUUAUCCAGGCAGCCUCGUGUGACCAAAGAAGCCCUGUAAAAGAGCCUCAGCUGGAUAGCAGGCAAAAAAAAUGUCUACACAUACCUGGCAAGUGUGGGCCAUGUACGUGGUCUUGGCUGUCAGUCUCUCUGAGGAACAAGCCCUGAAGCAGGCCUGUCCUUCAUGUGAUGCCACGCAGUCUUGCAACUGCUCUGCCAUGGGCUUGGA
rnacentral:lncRNA from 1 species